rnacentral:rRNA from 1 species
AUUGAACGCUGGCGGCAGGCCUAACACAUGCAAGUCGAACGGUAACAGGAAGAAGCUUGCUUCUUUGCUGACGAGUGGCGGACGGGUGAGUAAUGUCUGGGAAACUGCCUGAUGGAGGGGGAUAACUACUGGAAACGGUAGCUAAUACCGCAUAACGUCGCAAGACCAAAGAGGGGGACCUUCGGGCCUCUUGCCAUCGGAUGUGCCCAGAUGGGAUUAGCUAGUAGGUGGGGUAACGGCUCACCUAGGCGACGAUCCCUAGCUGGUCUGAGAGGAUGACCAGCCACACUGGAACUGAGACACGGUCCAGACUCCUACGGGAGGCAGCAGUGGGGAAUAUUGCACAAUGGGCGCAAGCCUGAUGCAGCCAUGCCGCGUGUAUGAAGAAGGCCUUCGGGUUGCAAAGUACUUUCAGCGGGGAGGAAGGGAGUAAAGUUAAUACCUUUGCUCAUUGACGUUACCCGCAGAAGAAGCACCGGCUAACUCCGUG